GAUGAACGCUGGCGGCGUGCUUAACACAUGCAAGUCGAGCGGACAGGCGAUGCGCUUGCGGCGUGCUCGAGAGGCGAACGGGUGUGUAAAACGCGAGUAUAAUGCCCUUAACUUUGGGAUAACUUCAGGAAACUGGGGCUAAUACAGGAGAGAAGCUCCUGCAGCGUGGGGGGGGAUGGAAAGAUACGGCGGUGGUGGAUGGACUAGCGGCUUAUCAGCUUGUUGGUGGGGUAGUGGCGUACAAAGGCUUCGACGGGUAGCCGGCCUGGGAGGGUGACCGGCCACCUUGCGCCUGAGAUACGGCCCAGUCUCCUACGUGAGGCAGCAGUGGAGAGCAUUGCGCAGUGGGCCGACGCCUGAUGCAGCAGCGCUGCGUUCGGGAUGACCGCCUUCGGGGGGUAAACCGCUUUCUACGGAGAUGAGGCGUUAGUGACGGUACUUGGUCAGAAAGCACCGGCUAACUACGUG
rnacentral:rRNA from 1 species